GACAGAGGAUGCAAGCGUUAUCCGGAAUGAUUGGGCGUAAAGCGUCUGUAGGCGGCUUUUUAAGUCUGCCGUCAAAUCCCAGGGCUUAACCCUGGACAGGCGGUGGAAACUACCAAGCUGGAGUCCGGUAGGGGCAGAGGGAAUUUCCGGUGGAGCGGUGAAAUGCGUAGAGAUCGGGAAGAACACCAGCGGCGAAAGCGCUCUGCUGGGCCGACACUGACACUGAGAGACGAAAGCUAGGGGAGCGAAUGGG
rnacentral:rRNA from 1 species